CACGACGGUGGACGCGAAGAUCUCAGGUCGUCAUCUGGGCACAUAAGGCCUGAGGGAGCGAGUUGUGCAACCGGCCACCCGCGUA
rnacentral:ncRNA from 2 species